CAUUCCACUGUGCCCCAACCAUGCUGAACAGAAGCAGCUGGCGGUCUGAAUCCCUGCAGAAAUGGUGUCAGAAGGACUGAGCCCCACCCGACAUCAAUGAGAAUGCAUAAGUGCUACAGGCUGGAACUAGGAAACACCCCACUUCCCCCACAUAACUCCUUUGAAAGAGUGGCUGAAGUUUUCAACUCAAGAUGGUCACCCUGCUUAUCACACAGAACCAGAUGCUUCAGCACCUUGGAGAGCUCCACAAGACCCACAGACCCGGGCCCCCCAACCACAAGAAAUAUAAUAAAAUACUGCUUUGAGACUCAAUUUCAGCACUUAGCUACAUAAAUAAAAGUUCCAGGAAGACUAAAUCUUAGAACCAACAGGGAGAUGAGCACUUCCAGAGUUUCAUCAGCUUCCAAAUGAUAUUUAAAUAUGAGAACGUGAGGCCUGGCUGGGCCUGUGGUGAAAUCUCCAUAACAGCAUCCUUGUAAUAAAUGCUGAAAUUCAUGCAACCAUGGCCUGCCCCCUUCACGGAUCGCAAUUCAUAAUUGUUGCUGAUUGUCACAAACCAUAGGGCUCUGAACCAAAAUCCAAUGGAGCCCGUGCAUGUGUGUGCAUGAGUGUGUGCACCUGUGUGUGUGCAUGUAUGAAGGUGUGCACUCGUGUGUGUGUGUAUGCGUGUAUGUGUGCAUACAGGUGUGUUAGCAUAUGUGUUUGCGACUAAUUUUUAGACAUGUGUCUCGGCUCUUUCUCCAGCUGGGAAUUUCAAAUGACUUGUGAGAAAAUCUGUAAGGUUAAACAUGUGGAUUUUGGAAGAUGAGAACAAAGAACGAAUACUGAUACAUUUUGGCUUAUUAUUUUGACAGUUUUGAAUUCCCACAGUAGUCUUACAACCAAAUCUUGUGAAAGUGUUUAUUCCGUUCCGUUGACCAGAAUGAGUAACAAACCUGAGAAAUGCUUUUGUGUCGUACAUUGUGUAGUGCAUUGUUAAGGCCCUCAGGUUAGCAAAAGCUGUCCUCAGCUGUGGAGCUGACUGCAGUGUGUCACUGACAUUAGCAACUGGACUUCAUUUGAUGAGCAGGCUGAACCUCUGGACAUUAAAAAGAGUAUUCACGGCCGGGCGCGGUGGCUCAAACCUGUAAUCCCAGCAUUUUGGGAGGCCGAGG
rnacentral:lncRNA from 1 species